rnacentral:misc_RNA from 1 species
AAGUCGUAACAAGGUUUCCGUAGGUGAACCUGCGGAAGGAUCAUUACUGAGGUAGGGUCCCUCGGGGCCCGACCUCCAACCCUUUGUUUACCUUACCACUGUUGCAUAGGCGGGUCGUUGACUCCCUCUUUACGGGGGGUGUCGCCGUCGGCCCUCGUGCUUUCGAGUGCCCGCCACAAGGACGAACCAUAAACUUUUUGUAAACCCCAGUAUUCUGAGAGUAAAUUUAAUACUUCAAAA